CUGUAAGUACUAAUUAAGACCAUAAAUAAUGGAACUCCAUCAAUACAGUGAUAAUCGACAUCAUUAAGUUGAUAUUAUUGUUAUAAAUAUCAAAAUGAUAAUUAUGGCACUAUUACUGUAUACAAGUUUUAAAUAAUAAUUUAAUUCUUCAUUCCCCAAAGAUUUUCUCACUAACCUGACAGAUUUCUAUGAGCAUUUAAACCAUUAGCAUAUUUUGCGGGAAUAUAGACUAAAAACAUUAGAAAUUAAACUGAAAUUCAUAAAUCUCACCAGCCGACUUUAUUGCGGCAGGAUUGCAGGCAGAAUUUACAAAAAGUUGAGUAAAUGAUUCAGAAAAUGCCAAAAAGUGAAAAUACUAGGACCUAAAGGAGAACCAUUGAAACAUAGUAGAUCACUAUUGUGUUUCCUGAACGAACACUCCCCUGGACAAGAGUCGCAGAUGGCCAAUAUACAACCUGCAUAUAGAGGGCAAGGUGAGUUUCAAUUCCUAAAGAUGAUCGUGGAGGAGAUUGAAAAGGGAGGUUGUACACCGGGUUCAACUUUCAGAAAAGAAAGUGAGCUAUAUGUUUAUGGGAAGUUCCGUUCAAUGUUUGGUCCACUUUAUUCAGACUGUUUUCUCAGGUCAAGGUUCAGGACCCUUAGAAAAAGGUACCAAGAGUUCUCAGAUAUGAUGAACAAGCCUGGACUUUCCUGGGACAAGAAAAAUAAUUGUUUAUGGCAACGAGCAACUUCUGAGGACAGAAUACAAGGUAACAGCUGCUUUUUCAUCUAUUUGUUAAAUAAUCUCCUACUUAUUUUUCCUUUAAUCUGAUAGAAACGGCAGAAAUAACAGAUUACAUGAGCAUAUGAAUAAGAACAUCUUACUAAUCCAGUUAACGUGAUGCUUCCUUCCCAGCACCGAUACAAGAACGGGCUUUACUAUGGAGAAAAAUACUUUGAGCUCAUGUGCCAAGUCUUUGAAAGUGGACUGAAGUUUAAGUAAAGCGGAGCAAGUUUUCAAUACCUGAUGCUUUGGGCUAACCAAAAUCAUGGUCAUCUUAGACGAGUUCAUGUUCUGUUCUCUUAUUGAAACUCCGAUUGCCUUAAAUUUCUAUUGAUCUGAAUGCUUAAAUAAUGUCAAAUACUAUCAUACAAACUGGCACAUCCUCCUAUAAUCCUCUUAUUUUUCUUAGUUUAACCAACGGAGGUGCAGUUUUU